rnacentral:rRNA from 1 species
UACGAAGGGGGCUAGCGUUGCUCGGAAUUACUGGGCGUAAAGCGCACGUAGGCGGUUUCUUAAGUCGGGGGUGAAAUCCUGGAGCUCAACUCCAGAACUGCCUUCGAUACUGGAAGACUCGAGUCCGGGAGAGGUGAGUGGAACUGGCGAGUGUAGAGGUGAAAUUCGUAGAUAUUCGCAAGAACACCAGUGGCGAAGGCGGCUCACUGGCCCGGUACUGACGCUGAGGUGCGAAAGCGAUGGG